ACAAAAUGAUGAAUGCCAAAUGAAUUGAUUUUAUUGAAAAUGUCACCAGAAAUCAUGUGUGGGGGGCUUGGUUUACAUGGAGAAAAUGAUUGGGUGAUUUUUUGAAAUGAAACGAAUGAAUUAUUAUCAUCUUAUGUUCAUCUUGAUUGUGGUCACUGUUGAUGUUGGCUGAUGGCAAAAAACCCAAAACCAUCAGAAUAGCAAUGAACUGGCUGCCAACACAACAUAUUGAUUGAUAACUGUGCAGGGGGGGAAUCGGGUCUGUGUGUGUGUGUGUGGUGCAGGCUCAGUCUGUCUCUUCCUGUUGUGUGUCUGUCUGUCUGUCUGUCUGUGUGAAUGGAUGCCUAGCACUGUCUCUGUGUGUGGAUGCUUUCUGUGUGUAGUGUGGUGUGUGUCUGUCUACAUGUUUUUUUUCCUCCCCCCCAUGCCUCCCUCCAUCCUUCCCCUCUCAUCCUCUCCCCUUCCUCUUCACCACCUUCCAUCCUCCCUCCCUUCCAGCCCACCACCGCCUCACCUGCCCCCAACCCCGGUCUGGCAGAUGAUGAGAGUCUGGUCUCUCCCACCGAAGCACACACGUGAGCACGUGUGUGCACAAAUAUGUGGCUGACCAACUCUGAGCCGGACCCUCCCCCCUUCAAUCCCCUCUACAUCCCUCUCCCCCUCCCCUUUCCUCCCCCCUGCCUCCCUCCCUGCCUCCCUCCCCCCUCCUAGCUAGCAGCGCACACAUACACACACAAAACACCUGUGGUGGCAAACACCACCAGCACACAUGCACUCACACUGGUGCCACCACCACCUCUGCCUUGGGCCUCUGUGUCCUUGAGCAGAUAUGUGGUGGUGGACCAGAGAAGCAUUUCUUUCCAGCAAGGCAAAAGGCAUGCACUCACUGCACACACACACACACACACACACACACACACACACACGAAGAGGUGAAGACGAGAAGAGGCAACUUCUAGGACCAGCAGCAGCAGAUAGGAAUGGCUGAAGAAUGGAAUGGAUCAGAUCAAUUUGCAAAACUCUUUGCUUGUUUUAGAAACCUUGAAUCAAAAGUGGUUCAACAUCAGAAGCUGGGACGUACUUUUUCUUUAUCUGUCCUGGACUCUGUUGUUCACUGGUUGCCCACUGCAGCAUGGCUCAGAUGCUGCCACCACCUUUUUUCUUGUCCACCCCAAGAGAGCCUACUCUUCCCUGGAAACGAUGGAGGUCUUAUUUCUGCAAUUACCCCAUCAUCAUACAGACCCUUGAUUUUACUCCAGCAAAGCUAAAAGCAAAAUUGCUUCACUGCCUGAGUCCUAAAGGCCAGAUAAUAUAUAAUCAUUUGCUCUUUCCUGCCAAAUUGGAAGGGGAUGCCAAUUCUUAUGAAGCUGCUCUUCAAGGCUUAGAUUAUAAUUUCAACCCCACUUUGAAUGUGAUUGCUGAAUGUUACAAGUUGCAACUGCCUGGUGAAUCUGUUGAUCAGUAUAUCACAGCAUUGCAUACCUUAAGUGUAACCUGUGAGUUUGCCAACUUUACUGAUGAAAUGAUAGGGAUCAGAUUGUUGUGAAAACAAACUACUCCAAACUAUGUGAAAAACUGCUAUUGGAGCAGAAACUUACCUUGGAUAAAGUUAUAGAGAUGGCUAGAAGGGUAGAAAAUGCUCUUCACUGUGCCAAAUCACUGUCUUUGGUACCCACAAACCAACCAACGGAAAUCCAGGCUGUUCAGUCUAAAUCCUUCCAAACGCAAUCUUCUCAUAUGGCCCAGGAAGUGGCAGCACAAGAAAGGAGGAGCUAAAAAUGCUACUUUUGUGGAGACUCUAUCCACAAAGCCAGUUUUGUUAACUGCCCUGCACACUAUUGUAACCACUGGUGCUUCUGAAAAUGGUUUAGGUGCUGUGUGGACCCAGCAAAAGGGACAGGGAAGUUACAGUUGUCUUUGCUUCCAGGGUGCUUACUACUUCAGAGAAGAUGUAUUAUUUCAUUGAAAAAGAAGCUCUAGCAUGUUUCUGGGUGGUGAAGAACUUCAGCACUUACUUGUGGUGCAGAAAAUGUGCCUCACAGUCAGAUCAUAAACCCCUAUCUGCUUUAUUUACUACUCCAGGAUCAAGUUAAGGAACCCAAAGAACAGCCAAAUGCAUCCCCAGACUUAUGGAUUUUGAUUUCCAGGUGGAAUAUCUUCCAGAUCUUUGGAAUACAACUGUAUAUUGUUUAUGUUGACUUCUACUUCCAGGCCAAGAGGUUUGAUUUUGUAGUUUUCUCAGCACUGAGUGUAAUAUGCUGUGCUAUUGCUUCUGUAACUAUCUGGUUGUGCUGGAUCUCAGACUAACAAAGGCAGAGAUCCCAAAAGACAAGGAUGAAUGAGUAGUAAUUGUGCAAAUAACUUCAUCCAGUCAUGGAGUGAUCAUGUCUUCUGAAUAGAAAGCAGCCCUCAGUGAGCACUGAUCAAGUGUUUACUGAACUUAAAUCUUACAUAACUAAUUGAUGCCCACGCAAAAACAAGGUACUGUAUCUGAACAAUCUUCAACCAUACGUGCAUGUAUCGAGUAAGCUGUCUCUUUUCAAUGAGCUGGUGCUGCAGACGGAUUGUUUCUUGGCGCCAACCUCCGUACUAGCAACAGUGAUCAAAAUUGCCCACGAAAGUCACGUGGACAUGAGCUUGACUAAAAUGUGAACCAGAGAAAGUUUUUGGUGGCCAGGUAUGAACAAACACAUUGAAAAUGUGAUCAGGCACUCUAUGACUUCAGCUAUAUCUGACAAAUCAUAGAAGACUUUUACCACCUCCUUGACUCCAGUAGAGUGUCUCAAUGGUCCCUGGGGAAAACUUGCUCUGGAUAUAAUGGGGCCUUUUGAUAACCAACCCGCAAACAAAAAAAUUGUUAUAGUGAUGGCGGAUUACUAUUUCAGGUGACCAGAAGUUUCAUUUGCUGACAACAUUACUACAAACAAGGUGAUCCAGUUCAUGGCAGCAGUUUUUGAGAGGCAAGGUCUUCCGAAAGAGCUGGUAACUGACAAUGGGACACAGCUUGCCUCAUCUGAAAUGGAGCAAUUUUUGCAUAACCAUGGGAUAAAACACAAGACUAUUUCCUUGUACCAUCCUCAAGGGAAUGGCUUAGUGGAAAUAAUGAACAGAUUAGUGAAAUAAAGUUUACAACUGACUACUACACAACAACAAUCCUGGAAAGAGGCAAUCUGUGGCAACAGUUGAUAGAACUUCCAUGCCAUCUCACUCGGGAUGCAGAGAUUCAUGAUCAGGUAAUGGAGAAGCAACAAAAAUACAAAUUGUAUGUGGAUCAGAUGGGGUGUGAAACAACAAACAUUUCAAGUGGGGCACUUUGUUCAAGUAUGGCUGCCUUAUAAAGUGAGAAAGGGAUAUUCCUGAUAUUCUGGACCAAAACAAAUAAUCAAAGUCUGAGGAGAUUUCGUCCUAUUGGAUGCUGGAAAGAAAUGGAACAGUUUGCGACUUUCCAGCAUGCAUAUUAUGAGACCAGAGGGAAGGGAGUCUGGUCUCGAGAGAGGAAUUGGAGAGGACUUUGAGGAUUUUACCUACAGGUUUGACCUCACAGAGGAGACUGAUGAAAGUGAUGGACAAUCCUCUGUACCAGAAAAAAAUCCUCUGUACCACUCACUAACAGCUCCUGUGCCAGAGAACCCAAGACUUAGGAGAAGUGCGCAUAACAGGAGACCACCUAAAAGGCUUCAGGACUUUGUAACUAGAUUUUAAAUUAAUUCAAUUCUGGUUAUUAUAAAGGGGAGGGCUGUGUUGUAUUCUCUCUAGUAAUCCUUUAUGUUCUGUUGUUGAGAAGUUUGUCCCAGUGGGGAUCCUGUAGAGAGUUUCGGGGGUGGAGUCAUAAGGAAAAGGGAGGGGAAGGAGAAUGAGAAAAUAGAGUUGUUUCUGAAUAAACUUUUAGUUAAAUCUA